AUAUGUUCUUCGUGAACAUGGCGUACUGCUCAGUAACACGUGGAUAACCUGCCCUUGGGUCCGGCAUAACCCCGGGAAACUGGGGAUAAUUCCGGAUAACGCACAUAUGCUGGAAUGCUUUAUGCGUAAAAUGGAUUCGUCUGCCCAAGGAUGGGUCUGCGGCCUAUCAGGUAGUAGUGGGUGUAAUGUACCUACUAGCCUACAACGGGUACGGGUUGUGAGAGCAAGAGCCCGGAGAUGGAUUCUGAGACAUGAAUCCAGGCCCUACGGGGCGCAGCAGGCGCGAAAACUUUACAAUGCGGGAAACCGUGAUAAGGGGA
rnacentral:rRNA from 1 species